rnacentral:rRNA from 1 species
GAAACGACUGCUAAGACUGGAUAGGAGACAAGAAGGCAUCCUCUUGUUUUUAAAAGACCUAGCAAUAGGUAUGCUUAGGGAGGAGCUUGCGUCACAUUAGUUAGUUGGUGGGGUAAAGGCCUACCAAGACUAUGAUGUGUAGCCGGGCUGAGAGGUUGAACGGCCACAUUGGGACUGAGACACGGCCCAAACUCCUACGGGAGGCAGCAGUAGGGAAUUUUCGGCAAUGGAGGAAACUCUGACCGAGCAACGCCGCGUGAACGAUGAAGUAUUUCGGUACGUAAAGUUCUUUUAUUAGGGAAGAAUAAAUGAUGGAAAAAUCAUUCUGACGGUACCUAAUGAAUAAGCCCCGGCUAACUAUGUGCCAGCAGCCGCGGUAAUACAUAGGGGGCAAGCGUUAUCCGGAAUUAUUGGGCGUAAAGGGUGCGUAGGCGGUUAAAUAAGUUUAUGGUCUAAGUGCAAUGCUCAACAUUGUGAUGCUAUAAAAACUGUUUAGCUAGAGUAAGAUAGAGGCAAGUGGAAUUCCAGGUGUAGUGGUAAAAUGCGUAAAUAUAUGGAGGAACACCAGUAGCGAAGGCGGCUUGCUGGGUCUUUACUGACGCUGAGGCACGAAAGCGUGGGGAGCAAACAGGAUUAGAUACCCUGGUAGUCCACGCCGUAAACGAUGAGUACUAAACGUUGGGUAAAACCAGUGUUGAAGUUAACACAUUAAGUACUCCGCCUGAGUAGUACGUACGCAAGUAUGAAACUUAAAGGAAUUGACGGGACUCCGCACAAGCGGUGGAUCAUGUUGUUUAAUUCGAAGGUACCCGAAAAACCUCACCAGGUCUUGACAUGCUUCUGCAAAGCUGUAGAAACACAGUGGAGGUUAUCAGUUGCGCAGGUGGUGCAUGGUUGUCGUCAGCUCGUGUCGUGAGAUGUUGGGUUAAGUCCCGCAACGAGCGCAACCCUUAUUGUUAGUUACCAGCACGUAAUGGUGGGGACUUUAGCAAGACUGCCAGUGAUAAAUUGGAGGAAGGUGGGGACGACGUCAAAUCAUCAUGCCCCUUAUGACCUGGGCUACAAACGUGAUACAAUGGCUGUUACAAAGGGUAGCUGAAGCGCAAGUUUUUGGCGAAUCUCAAAAAAACAGUCUCAGUUCGGAUUGAAGUCUGCAACUCGACUUCAUGAAGUUGGAAUCGCUAGUAAUCGCGAAUCAGCAUGUCGCGGUGAAUACGUUCACGGGGUUUGUACACACCGCCCGUCA